CGUGGGUGGAUGAGUGGCGAACGGGUGAGUAACACGUGAGUACCUGCCCCUUCUUUGGAUACGCCCGGAAACGGGUGCUAAUACUGGAUAUUCACUUGCCUUCGCAUGGGGGUUGGUGGAAAGGGUUUUUUCUGGUGGGGGAUGGGCUCGCGGCCUAUCAGCUUGUUGGUGGGGUGAUGGCCUACCAAGGCUUUGACGGGUAGCCGGCCUGAGAGGGUGACCGGUCACAUUGGGACUGAGAUACGGCCCAG
rnacentral:rRNA from 1 species